ACACACACACACACAUCGCCGUUGGCACAUAAAGGCACAUAAAGCAACAGGUUGAUUGAGUGCAGAAGGUUAAACUAAUUAAGGCAUUGUAGAAAUGUAUAAAAACCUACACUAGCCGACGCAACCACACCCGCAUGAAAUAUUCCCCAUACUGAGUAGCUCAUUAACUUUUCCCCUCAUUUGUGUCCCUGCAUUUAUACCAAGUCUUUCUCACAUUUGACCUCUGAACCUUGGAACGAUUGAGCCGAAACCCGAUCCUCCGGUUACAAUACAAUGUGCGUGCAUGUUUGUCUCUGCAGACACCUCGGCUGCGGUGCUGACAGAAAGCCUCAGGCUUCUUAUGUUCUCUAAAAUUUAAUCCUCUGGCAGAUAAGAGACACCUCAUACGAGCCAAACUGUCUGAAACACCUCGCCGUUCUUAUGAUCGUGCCAAGACUCAAACUGAAAAUGGAAACCUUUCUGGCUACGCUGCUGCUUACGCUUGCAGAAACCUGGGCUCCAGAUCUGGAAUGUUGGCAACUGAGAACCCCACUAAGGCUUGGGAAUUGGGCUACCUUACAUGACUGCUAGACCUAAAUUAUCUUCCAGCUUUCAAGACCCAGCCCUUCCAAGAGCAUUUUAAUGACGCAGAAACACCCUCAACUCUCUCCCACUGAUUCAUGUCUAUGGAGGUGUGUUCCCUUUUUCCAUGAUGUUACAUUUGAAGUGAUUGACGUGGUUAAUACUUAAAGGCAAUCAUAUACUAAUCGCAUAAAAGACUAAAUUCUUUUGUUGGUAAUCUUUCCCUCGUGGGUGUGAGCACAAAAUGUGAUCUCGGCAUUCAAGUCAGCACUUCCAUUAUUUGAUGCAAGUAUAGCCUUUCUCCUGGAGCGAAACUUUCACCUUUCUGUACUAGCAGGAUUUGGUAAACCUACACAUCCUAUCAUGAGUGUUGCGGUCGGAGGUGAGCAGUCCUUCACAGCUGUCCUUCACUGCAAGCAAAUGUCAAGAUCUGACUCCAAUAAACAUCAUUUUGAACAUACAACAGUCUCUUGAGUGAACCUGUGGCCAUUGUUGGCUCAGAUUCCUGGUCUUGGCUGACAGGAGUGGAACCCCAUGUGGUCUUCUUCUGUUGCAGUCCAUCUGCCUCAUGCUUUAAUGUGUUGUGGAUGCCUUUCUGCUCACCUCAGUUGUAAAGAGUAGUUAUUUGAGGUACUAAAGGCUUUCUGCCAGCUUGAACCAGCGAAUUGUGUUCCUAAUGAGUGUACGCUACACUGGAAUAUUCCUUUAGAUACCUUUUCAAGUAUUUCACAGUUAUGCCAAGAUUACCUCAUGGCUCGUUAAUAGUGACUAACAUUAGAUGAGAUAAAAUAGUAUACGUAUAAUUUACGUUAUUUGAAAGUCUACAAAUUGCUAUUUGGCCUGCAGCAAGUCCUAAUGAGUUCAAAUGGUAGUAAAUACCUCUGUAUACCAGUGCCUACCGGUGUGCAAUGUCUCUUUGAGAGUACCAUACUCUACAUGGAUGAUUGUUUGUAGACAUCCGACCAUCACACCCAUACUUGGGCCUUCCCCAAACUGUUCGAAGCCGUACUCACAUUCAGAUUAACACCAAAUAACAUAUA